rnacentral:rRNA from 1 species
GUCCACGCCGUAAACGAUGAGUACUAAGUGUUGGAGAAAUUCAGUGCUGUAGUUAACGCAAUAAGUACUCCGCCUGAGUAGUACGUACGCAAGUAUGAAACUCAAAGGAAUUGACGGGACCCCGCACAAGCGGUGGAUCAUGUUGUUUAAUUCGAAGAUACGCGAAGAACCUUACCAGGUCUUGACAUCCCCUGCAAGUCUAUAGAGAUAUAGAGGAGGUUAACAGGGAGACAGGUGGUGCAUGGUUGUCGU